rnacentral:rRNA from 1 species
GUGAUGUACUCCUACGGGAGGCAGCAGUGGGGAAUAUUGCACAAUGGGCGCAAGCCUGAUGCAGCCAUGCCGCGUGUGUGAAGAAGGCCUUCGGGUGUAAAGCACUUUCAGUCGUGAGGAAGGUGGUAGUGUUAAUAGCACUAUCAUUUGACGUUAGCGACAGAAGAAGCACCGGCUAACUCCGUGCCAGCAGCCGCGGUAAUACGGAGGGUGCGAGCGUUAAUCGGAAUUACGUGGGCGUAAAGCGCAUGCAGGUGGUUUGUUAAGUCAGAUGUGAAAGCCCCGGGGCUCAACCUCGGAAUAGCAUUUGAAACUGGCAAACUAGAGUACUGUAGAGGGGGUAGAAUUUCAGGUGUAGCGGUGAAAUGCGUAGAGAUCUGAAGGAAUACCGGUGGCGAAGGCGGCCCCCUGGACAGAUACUGACACUCAGAUGCGAAAGCGUGGGGAGCAAACAGGAUUAGAUACCCUGGUAG